CUUUAUAGAGAACAACAGGUAUGGUUCGAUACCUCCUUUAUAGAGAACAACAGGUAUGGUUCGAUACCUCCUUUAUAGAGAACAACAGGUAUGGUUCGAUACCUCCUUUAUAGAGAACAACAGGUAUGGUUCGAUACCUCCUUUAUAGAGAACAACAGGUAUGGUUCGAUACCUCCUUUAUAGAGAACAACAGGUAUGGUUCGAUACCUCCUUUAUAGAGAACAACAGGUAUGGUUCGAUACCUCCUUUAUAGAGAACAACAGGUAUGGUUCGAUACCUCCUUUAUAGAGAACAACAGGUAUGGUUCGAUACCUCCUUUAUAGAGAACAACAGGUAUGGUUCGAUACCUCCUUUAUAGAGAACAACAGGUAUGGUUCGAUACCUCCUUUAUAGAGAACAACAGGUAUGGUUCGAUACCUCCUUUAUAGAGAACAACAGGUAUGGUUCGAUACCUCCUUUAUAGAGAACAACAGGUAUGGUUCGAUACCUCCUUUAUAGAGAACAACAGGUAUGGUUCGAUACCUCCUUUAUAGAGAACAACAGGUAUGGUUCGAUACCUCCUUUAUAGAGAACAACAGGUAUGG